UUCACUUGCCCAGAAGACCACAGCAAGUCUCAGGACUCACAGUGAGGUCUCUAAACAACAACUAAAAGAAAAUGCUGAGUAGGAGAUUAAAUUCUUCCUUUAAAUAGGCACUGGCGCACUGCUAGCGAGUCAACCUUGUGUUUUACAGAUAAACUCUGAAGUGAAGGUGCCAUCCACCUGAGGGAUUCCACGAACUCCCUAAUUAGUUCAGUCGCAGGAGCAGAAAUCUCCGAUCCACAUCAAGAAGCCGUACCCGGGGCAGUGGUGGCCGGUGGGGAGCAGAUAACACCUUCUGGAAACCGUAGAGCCUGAAACAGUGAAACAUUUCCACAGCCAAAAGGAAAAUCAGUCAUUAUGGAUCACAGAACUUAACUGGCAAAAGGUACACGUAAUCAAAUGUAAUUGAGAAAACAGAAAGAAAGAAGAAACAAAUGCAUGCCUUCGUCAUUGAGAAGACGCAACUCCACCCUCUCGCAGGACUUAAAGUUUCCAAUAAACCAUUGUAUUGGAAACGAAGUCCAUAAGUGGGGGUCGUCGUCUUGAACAAUGGUGGCCUCCUU
rnacentral:lncRNA from 1 species